GACGAACGCUGGCGGCGUGCCUAAUACAUGCAAGUCGAGCGAUGAUUAAAGAUAGCUUGCUAUUUUUAUGAAGAGCGGCGAACGGGUGAGUAACGCGUGGGAAAUCUGCCGAGUAGCGGGGGACAACGUUUGGAAACGAACGCUAAUACCGCAUAACAAUGAGAAUCGCAUGAUUCUUAUUUGAAAGAAGCAAUUGCUUCACUACUUGAUGAUCCCGCGUUGUAUUAGCUAGUUGGUAGUGUAAAGGACUACCAAGGCGAUGAUACAUAGCCGACCUGAGGAGGGGAUCGGCCACACUGGGACUGAGACACGGCCCAGACUCCUACGGGGGGCAGCAGUAGGGAAUCUUCGGCAAUGGGGGCAACCCUGACCGAGCAACGCCGCGUGAGUGAAGAAGGUCUUCGGAUCGUAAAACUCUGUUGUUAGAGAAGAACGUUAAGUAGAGUGGAAAAUUACUUAAGUGACGGUAUCUAACCAGAAAGGGACGGCUAACUACGUGCCAGCCGCCGCAGUAA
rnacentral:rRNA from 1 species